rnacentral:rRNA from 1 species
UUAAGUUAGAAAGGGCGCACGGUGGAUGCCUUGACACUAGGAGUCGAUGAAGGACGGGACUAACGCCGAUAUGCUUCGGGGAGCUGUAAGUAAGCUUUGAUCCGAAGAUUUCCGAAUGGGGAAACCCACUAUACGUAAUGGUAUGGUAUCCUUACCUGAAUACAUAGGGUAUGGAAGACAGACCCAGGGAACUGAAACAUCUAAGUACCUGGAGGAAGAGAAAGCAAAUGCGAUUUCCUGAGUAGCGGCGAGCGAAACGGAACAUAGCCCAAACCAAGAGGCUUGCCUCUUGGGGUUGUAGGACAUUCUAUACGGAGUUACAAAGGAACGAGGUAGACGAAGCGACCUGGAAAGGUCCGUCGUAGAGGGUAACAACCCCGUAGUCGAAACUUCGUUCUCUCUUGAAUGUAUCCUGAGUACGGCGGAACACGUGAAAUUCCGUCGGAAUCUGGGAGGACCAUCUCCCAAGGCUAAAUACUCCCUAGUGAUCGAUAGUGAACCAGUACCGUGAGGGAAAGGUGAAAAGCACCCCGGAAGGGGAGUGAAAGAGAUCCUGAAACCGUGUGCCUACAAAUAGUCAGAGCCC